CAUACGACUUGAUUCGGGCUCGGCCCGAUCCUCCCACCCUUUGUGUACCUACCUCUGUUGCUUUGGCGGGCCGCGGUCCUCCGCGGCCGCCCCCCUCCCCGGGGGGGUGGCCAGCGCCCGCCAGAGGACCAUCAAACUCCAGUCAGUAAACGAUGCAGUCUGAAAAACAUUUAAUAAACUAAAACUUUCAACAACGGAUCUCUUGGUUCUGGCAUCGAUGAAGAACGCAGCGAAAUGCGAUAAGUAAUGUGAAUUGCAGAAUUCAGUGAAUCAUCGAAUCUUUGAACGCACAUUGCGCCCUUUGGUAUUCCGAAGGGCAUGCCUGUUCGAGCGUCAUUACAACCCUCAAGCUCUGCUUGGUAUUGGGCACCGUCCUUUGCGGGCGCGCCUCAAAGACCUCGGCGGUGGCGUCUUGCCUCAAGCGUAGUAGAACAUACAUCUCGCUUCGGAGCGCAGGGCGUCGCCCGCCGGACGAACCUUCUGAACUUUUCUCAAGGUUGACCUCGGAUCAGGUAGGGAUACCCGCUGAACUUAAGCAUAUCAU
rnacentral:rRNA from 1 species